rnacentral:rRNA from 1 species
UACGUAGGGUGCAAGCGUUAAUCGGAAUUACUGGGCGUAAAGCGUGCGCAGGCGGUUUUGUAAGUCUGACGUGAAAUCCCCGAGCUUAACUUGGGAAUUGCGUUGGAGACUGCAAGGCUGGAGUCUGGCAGAGGGGGGUAGAAUUCCACGUGUAGCAGUGAAAUGCGUAGAGAUGUGGAGGAACACCGAUGGCGAAGGCAGCCCCCUGGGUCAAGACUGACGCUCAUGCACGAAAGCGUAGGGGAGC